UACGGAGGGUGCGAGCGUUGUCCGGAAUCAUUGGGCGUAAAGGGCGCGUAGGUGGCCUGGUCAGUUCGUGGUGAAAGCGCGGGGCUCAACCCCGCGUCGGCCAUGAAUACUGCGAGGCUGGAGCACUGUAGAGGCAGGCGGAAUUCCGGGUGUAGCGGUGGAAUGCGUAGAGAUCCGGAAGAACACCGGUGGCGAAGGCGGCCUGCUGGGCAGUUGCUGGACACUGAGGCGCGACAGCGUGGGGAGCAAACAGGAUUAGAACCGACCGUGAGUC
rnacentral:rRNA from 1 species